GCCCUUACCAAUAGCUCAGUGGUAGAGCAUCCGCCGCGGCGGAAGGUCGUGAGUUCGAUUCUCACUAACGGCUCGA
rnacentral:tRNA from 1 species